UACGUAGGGUGCGAGCGUUAAUCGGAAUUACUGGGCGUAAAGUGUGCGCAGGCGGCUUCGCAAGUCGAGUGUGAAAUCCCCGAGCUUAACUUGGGAAUUGCGCUCGAAACUACGGAGCUGGAGUGUGGCAGAGGAAGGUGGAAUUCCACGUGUAGCGGUGAAAUGCGUAGAAAUGUGGAGGAACACCGAUGGCGAAGGCAGCCUUCUGGGCCAACACUGACGCUCAUGCACGAAAGCGUGGGGAGCAAACAGG
rnacentral:rRNA from 1 species